CGUUAGCGGCGGACGGGUGAGUAACACGUGGAUAACCUACCUAUAAGACUGGGAUAACUUCGGGAAACCGGAGCUAAUACCGGAUAAUAUAUUGAACCGCAUGGUUCAAUAGUGAAAGACGGUUUUGCCGUCACUUAUAGAUGGAUCCGCGCCGCAUUAGCUAGUUGGUAAGGUAACGGCUUACCAAGGCAACGAUGCGUAGCCGACCUGAGAGGGUGAUCGGCCACACUGGGACUGAGACACGGUCCAGACUCCUACGGGAGGCAGCAGUA
rnacentral:rRNA from 1 species